AGCAGCCGCGGUAAUUCCAGCUCCAAUAGCGUAUAUUAAAGUUGUUGCAGUUAAAAAGCUCGUAGUUGAAUUUCGGGAUCAAUGUUUCGGUCAUGCCCUUGGUAUGUACUGAUAUUAUUGGUUUCUCACCUUCUAAAGAACCGUAGUGCCAUUAAUUUGGUGUCACGGGGAAUUAGGACUGUUACCUUGAAAAAAUUAGAGUGUUUAAAGCAGGCCCACGCUUGAAUACAUUAGCAUGGAAUAAUGAAAUAGGACAUCCGAUUCUAUUUUGUUGGUUUCUAGGAUCGAUGUAAUGAUUAAUAGGGAUAGUUGGGGGCAUUAGUAUUCAAUUGUCAGAGGUGAAAUUCUUGGAUUUAUUGAAGACUAACUACUGCGAAAGCAUUUGUCAAGGAUGUUUUCAUUAAUCAAGAACGAAAGUUAGGGGAUCGAAGACGAUCAGAUACCGUCGUAGUCUUAACCAUAAACUAUGCCGACUAGGGAUCGGAUGAUGUUAAUUUUUUAAUGACUCA
rnacentral:rRNA from 1 species